rnacentral:lncRNA from 1 species
UGGGGAGUAAGCAAAAAGGAUGGAACAAGAAGCCAAAAUGAUGCUCUGAAAUUUUGCUCCUUCCUUUCAAUUGUUGCCAUUUCGAGGAGGAGAGAGAGGUCAAGUAAAGCUUUCUCAUUAACCGUUAAGAGCAGUGAUUAAAAUUUCCUUCUUGAAGAAUUAGUUGUGGUAGAAUAACAGAGAACAUACAUCCAGAGGAGCCUACAAGACAUUUUGAGGGGAUACUGGACUCCUCCUUCUUUGUGUGACAUAGAGGAGAAUGGGUGAUUCCAGAUUAGAGAAUUUGGAGACCACAGGACCACACAAAGAACACAUGGUUUUUAUAUACUUCAUUGUAAUCUGCCAUACCUGGCCCAGGUGGUAA